UGGGGAAUAUUGCACAAUGGGCGCAAGCCUGAUGCAGCCAUGCCGCGUGUAUGAAGAAGGCCUUCGGGUUGUAAAGUACUUUCAGUCGGGAGGAAGGUGGUAAGGUUAAUAACCUUAUCAAUUGACGUUACCGACAGAAGAAGCACCGGCUAACUCCGUGCCAGCAGCCGCGGUAAUACGGAGGGUGCAAGCGUUAAUCGGAAUUACUGGGCGUAAAGCGCACGCAGGCGGUUGAUUGAGUCAGAUGUGAAAUCCCCGGGCUUAACCCGGGAAUUGCAUCUGAAACUGGUCAGCUAGAGUCUUGUAGAGGGGGGUAGAAUUCCAUGUGUAGCGGUGAAAUGCGUAGAGAUGUGGAGGAAUACCGGUGGCGAAGGCGGCCCCCUGGACAAAGACUGACGCUCAGGUGCGAAAGCGUGGGAAGCAAACAGG
rnacentral:rRNA from 1 species